rnacentral:snRNA from 1 species
AUCGCUUCUCGGCCUUUUGGCUAAGAUCAAGUGUAGAUUUUUAAAUAAGUAGGCUUUGUACUUUCUCAGAUUUUGCAUUUCUACUUCACAAAGAAAUAUUUUCUUGAGACUCCUGCUAGUGUGAUUGAAGGGCAAUUUCAGCUUCAAACAGCAUUUUUUUGUGUCAAUGAAGAGAUUUA